AUACUCUCAGGAUAGCACCUGGAGAGUUUGCAGUCCUCUACCAGUCUCAGCUGUGGGAGGAAGAGUCAAGCAGAUGCCUACCCAUUCCAUUCCUAGCUUGGACAGUGGCUAGUGAGUGGAAGGCCACCUGCUACAUGU